rnacentral:lncRNA from 1 species
AUGUUGGCCCUCUCACGCUCAUCAUUCAAUAACAUUACAGGUGACGGGAUUCAAGCCUCAACGUCUGGUUUUUCAUCGAAGGGAACCUGCAGGUCAAGUCCGUACGGACUCCACAGAACCAUGCAGGUCUGCGACGGAGGGCGGCCAGCAGACAAAGGAAUGACAAACUGCUCAGAGGUGGAGGAGGGCAGACGUAAAUCUAGCAGUGACGGAUGCCGAGCGACUUUUUUCGUUGACAAGGAUUUGGACCGGAAUCCGCUGGGACAUGUUGGAGCAGGGCCAAUGGUUCGAGGCAGGGAGAGCAUCUUUCAGUCUGACUGGUAAUGUUCUCAUCAGACCCAACUGGGUUUUGAUGUAUUUGAUCCACCACUGUGUGCACAAGGCAUUGUCAUCGAUUACGACGGCGAGAUGAGCAUAUGGAUUCCCGUGGAAGUCAAUCUAAUCCCCGCAGGCCUGUUUGUGUUAUGACCAAGGUGGUUGGCACACCUAGAUACCCAUGAGGCCAAUCCUCUGCUGAAGAUGUCCAACUUGUUCUCCCGGAGGAAGUGUGUGUUCAUUAUAACAUGUCAACACAAAGUUUUGCAUCCCUAAUUGGGGUUCAGGGUUCAGAUAAGAAUGUUUCGUUUUGUUUUUCACAUGAUUAUACUACUAUACUAGAGGAAAGGAAUAAAACUCAUCACUGUGUCCUUAGAGAUCUAAAGACGUUCCCCCCUGGGGCUGAGGGCAAAAUACCCACGAUCAAGUGGACACACACAUGAGCUAUUGGACUGGGAAAAUGCUUAACAAUGACUCCUAAAUAGACUUGGUUGACCACUUAGCAGCAAUCAGGAUGUAGUGGAGGCCCAAGUUGACAGAGAGGUUUCUCUCUCUGCAAAACGGAACAUUCUCUUUACUCGUCAUUCAAAUGAACAAAACACAGAGGGAACUAGUGCUACUUCUCUCAGCGGCGGACAGUAGAUGGCAGUAGAGUUACUGGGAUGAAUCGUAUGAUCACGGAUCACAGUCGUUCACCGUUCCCAUCCCUGAGUGAUAGCUUUUGCUCAGCACAAGCACAGGUAUGACUCAGUGAGAAGCAGCAGCAGAAGAAAAAACUAAUGGCAAAGUUAAAUUCCAAGUAUAUUAGCACAACGCUCCAGAUGUCUCUCCAAAGCUGGAAAAUCCAGAUGUUUCCGAGUGAUGUGGCACAAUGAUGAAUCCCUAAUCCUCUGCAAUGGAGCAAGGACUUGAAUGAGGUAACUGAUGUUUUUUUGUUUUUUUCUGUAGAUAAACCCUAAUCAUUAGCCGGCAAAAACAUUAAAAAAAAUAUUGAUAAAGGAAUAGUUUUAAAAAAAGUUAAGUGGAAGGAUGCAUUCAGCUGCAGCUGAAACUUAUCUAUAAUAUGAGCAUUAUCUUGUCCUGCCCUGUACUAACACUUAUGGCAGGACAAACAUAUUUGUCUGACUGAUGGCAGAUAAAUGAAAGUUGCCUUAAAGAUGUAAUUUUUUUUGAAUGAACUAACUGCGCUCAUAAAUG